UCUCUGUGAAGACCUCGACCAACCCAUUUCAGGGUCAAAGAGAGAGAAAGCCUCCAACUCCCAUAAUCCAACAUUUCUCAGGAGCUGUUUCCUGGUUACCUGGAAACUGAGCCACGAUUGUUUAUGUGAGACUGACUCACUGACAUUCUUACCCGUGGAGUGGAAAAUGGGGGUAAAUGCAUGCAUGCCUUUUCUUGGUUGAGAUAUGACUUUUAGAGUUUCAUUCACCUCACAGAAACAAUAUUCAACAUUCAGAUGUUUCUUUUGUCAGAGUUUCAAGUGUUAAAAUCUGCUCUUCCAUGUUACUGUUUCACACCAACAUCCAAACAUCCAGAUACCAGAACGACCAGACAUGUCGGACAGUUUCUGCCGUCUAAACUGCAAACUAGCAAAGUGUAAAAUGACUUCAAUAUCCAACUACCCAACCUCAAGGCAGGAUUCAAUGUGGUGUUGAACGAUAUGAACAAAAUCUUAUAUCCCAGUAUGAGUAAUUUCAUAUCAUGGUAACAGUAUCACAGUAUUUUUUCAGUUAGUGUCUUAAAAAUAACCGUACCGUCUCAUUUGUUCAUUUUCCUUUUUUUUCAAACUCUGAUUUGUUUACAAACGGAAACUAAAUGUCCGACCAGUCUGGCGAUUUUUUUUUUUAUCAUACCGUGUACCUUUGGUGAAAGACUCUGCUGAGCUCUUUAGUCUGAGAGGAGCUGCUGCAGUUUUAGUUUUUGGUGCAGCAGGUGCGUCACUCAUCUUCUGUCUCUCAUAAUAGAGCUCGGCAUGUUUCAUCUUUAGGUGGAGGAAGAGGUUUCUGGUGUUUCCUCCAACAACCACAGCAACAUGACACUUUUUGUAUAGGAUUGUUUUUUUGACCAUUGUUGGAUUUUCUGGAUUUUCUUCCGAAGGAUCUCCAGACAACCGAUGUCGCGACUCGCGCCCUUUUUUCAGAACGAGUAUCGGUACCGCCACCAUACCCCGCGUCCGCCAUGACCACCACCAGUGAAGCGGUUUCUUCUUUGUUGAAACUCUGCUAAACAGUCUGCUGGUGAUUAAAGGGAGCACACUCAAACCUGACCAAUCAAACGGAGCGAACAAACGCCGUUCAACACGCUGGUGAAAACACGGAAACGCUCCAAAAUUAAAGUGUCUACCAGCUUUCCUCUUAGCAAGCACAGACAACUACACACAGACUCAGCUGGUAGACACUUUAAUUCCAUCAUACCGCCCAACACUAUUUCAGUGUGGACUUUACACCCUAACUUUAGACAGAGUGUACUGUGAGGCCACUGUCACUCUGUUUGAGUCUUGUGUGGACAGUAAAACCAUGACUUUUGAAAGGCUGCAAGUUGGAUAAGAACAAAAAACGGAGCAGAAGUUCAGUUUCAUGCUCUUUAUUGAACACCUAGUUUCACACUCCAUUACAUCUACAGGACUCUUUUGGUUCUUGUUUAUUUGGAAAAGGAAGAAACAUUUGGGAUCCAAAGUUUGGCAGUUUGGAUGAUGACAAAAUUGACUUUUAGUUAUUGGAGGAUUAAAAAAACGAUUACCCUGGAAUAGUUUCUUUAAACCGUUUAGAGUUCACGUCUCCAACGUUUCCACUCUACAGAAACAAAUCAUCCAUCAUCAUUACUCCUUUAAACUCAGACUGGUAAUCCAAUUAUCCCUCUAACCGCCAACCUCAGACAGUUACUACCUCGAGAAAAUUCCUAAUUUGUUUUGACUCUCCUACCAGCUGGGAUGUUCCAGCAGAUGUCAUUAAAGUCUGUCCCUCAUGACGGAACAAUCCUCUUCAUUUCAUGGCACAAGCUCCUGACUAAACUGGAACCAUCCCACUUCAAACCCAGUCGAAGCUCUUUCUUCGUUUCAUUAUCCACUGUAGUCACCAGUGCUGCUCUGCCCACUUCAUCCAUCAUGACUAUAAUGCAGAGCACAUUUCAGCUCCGACGGUUACUGUCCAUCAAAUCAAAGUGACUUCACCACAGUCACCUCACCACAGUCCCUGUCCUUUAGUUUUCCACCGCAGCUCCAGCCUCCCCGACCACUUCAAUGUUCUUCAUCCUCCUCCAUCACUAACUCACACCAAACCACGUCUGUCUGAUGUUCAUUCAAACUGACGGUCGCUUCAGGUCACCACGACAUCGACUGAACUAAACGACGCAAAUACAGCGAGGUGUUUCAUCUGGAAACACCGACAGAAAAUUUUGACGUAACAUGUCCGGUACGUCGGGGACAAACUCAACUAUAACGACUGAGAGUGACCAUCAUGAGGGACAAAAAGACUGUGUUCUCUGACCUUCUCUGACCUUCUCUGACCUUGGCAUUAACUGAACUCUGUGUUUUUAUCAUUACCUCACAGGAACAUGCUCUUCUUCCAAAUAUGUUCACCUCUGUUUUAAAUGUCAUAUUUGUUCACCUGCUCUCCUUUGUUCUUCAUGUCCUCUGCUCUUGAGCGCCCUCUGCUGGUCGCCCCGUCAAACACUUUGAGCAGCCCGUCACCUCUGGGUUGAAUUCAGUGUUUUCAGAAGCGACACUUUACGUACGGGGUCCUGCAGGGAAACAAAGGUAAACAGAGAGUGAGGGGGGACCCUCUCACCUGGAAACCAUUGACCCUCCAGCUGUGUUUUCAGGGGGUGUGAGAUGCAGUCAUGUGUCCCCAAUAAAAGUGUCCCCCCCCCUCAGCCAGAUGUUCAGGUUAGCACUGAUGGUUUUAACAGCUGUUAGUGAAAUAUGCAUCUCUAAUGUAAGACAGGAACCUGCAGACUGCUGCCUGAGUGGGCUCAGUCCACAGUGGAUCUGUCACAAACUCACACAUACUCAUCAUUAAGAGACGUGUGAAUCUUCAGGAAUUUACCACCGACUGUUGAUUUAUGCGGAAUAAGCCCCAGUAACCUUAUUAUAAUAAUGUUUGUUUAGAUGAGAUACCAGUUUGCACCAUUUAAAACAGUUAUCGGUUAAAGGUAGGGCAGUCAGGAUGAGUUAGUUCCAGUUUUUGGGAGAAAUCUUGAAUGUAAACUCGACCCCUCCCAACUAGUUUUCCCCUCAGCUCCUCCCCUCCCUCUCUUAAGCCCCGCCCACAAACAGACGCUCCUGCUCGCUCGUAUCGUUCCGAUUAAAUUCAGAUAUAAUGCAGAUAAAUACUUCAGAUCAUUACAAAUGGGGCCCAGUCAAGGUGAAAGUCAAAAGCAUUGGUGCUACUGUAGAUGCCAACAGACUACCAGCAAACACAAUGUUUGCAGGACUUCUACAACGAGGAUAAAGUGACAUAGUCCAGGACCCGAGGGAGGACAGUUUAGCGAUGGCGCUACAACACGCUACAGCAGGUCCGUUUGACAAGAAACACUUCUGUUACAGACACUUGUCUUACUUUGUUAAAGCGGUUUACCUGUCCAGCAGAAAGGUUACAGGGUCACCAAGAUCCCCAAGCGUCCCCCAUCGUUUAUGUUGACCCGGCUUUUUAGCUCUUGUCCGGUCUACCUCCGUUUUAAGCGCCCGUUAUUCCUCCAGAGUCUCCGGUAUUUACUUUGUUUUCUCGCUUGUGUCGGCAGUCGUGGCCAAAGGAGGAUUCAGACAAUUUUCCGAACUUUCUGGUUGGUUUCUACUGUCCGAUAUUGUAGCACGCUAACUUUGUUUGGGCUCCUGAACGACACGGGGGAGCAGCGUCUGCCUCACAACCAAUCAGGUUAGAGGAGGUGGAGAACGGCUUUGUUUACAGUCAGAAAGAGCGGACCGCUCAAAAAUGUUCAAAUGUUGACGACACAGACAUAAGAGAACACAGAGAUAUCGAUAUAUUAACAAAUGUCAUCAAUAACUAAUAACUAUUGACUGAUAUUUAUAGAUUUUUGGUAUAAACACCACAUAAAAAGAUGCUUCUUUAACGGAUUCCUGCCUACUCCACCUUUAAUGACGAGACACCGAGACACAAUGACAUUGGGACCAUUUUUUCGCUGGUCAACCACAUUGAUAUUUAAGAGCAAACGUAAGUGUAAAUCACUGGUGUGAUGAAACAUUUCCCCUCAUUUCUCUCUAAAACUCAUUAUAACCAGUGUCUGAUUAUAAGUGCCACUAAUAGGAGCAGUAAAACCACAUCAGUCAGAAGGUACAUGAGCGUCUAUGAUCAACCUCGGUCUCAUUCAUUCCUACUCUGACUUUAUGAAGGUUGAUAUUAUCCUGCUGUCACUCCUCUGUACUCUGUUGGUCAUUUGACAAAGAGUUCAGUACACAGAAUCGUUCAGAAGAAGGUUCUGGAUUCUUUAGGAUGUUACAGAGACUGUCCCUCCUGAAGUUGUUGAUGUGUUUUAAUGGAGAUGCACUUGCAGUUUGUUUGCUCUGAGUGUGUCUGAGGACCAGCAUGUGUGUGUUGUUGAUGAAAAAGAGUUUGGAUUGUUCCCUGCGGUUCUGUUUUCACACCCUCACAGACGGUUGGACUGGCACAAGUAGAAGAAUUUGUCGGGUCAUAAAUCCAUGUUUCUGAGAUCCUCCAGGCAGGAUGGAGAGCCAGUUGGCUCGAAGAAGUGAUGUUUGAAAACAGGAAGCAGAUUGAAGGUGGAGACGCAGCUGGAGUCAAAGCGCGGUGACUCAGCCACACUGAGCUGACAGAAAACUCAACACACCUAAUCUACACCAACACACACGCACACUGUUUCCAGAUCAGCUUCAGAGUUUCACUUUAUUCCUUUUCUCUUCGUUUCCCAGAAUCUGAUCUGAAAUGUCAGCCCCGGAGUGAUUGUUAGAGGGGUUUCCAAUCCGAGGGUCAGGAACCUGCUGAGGAGUCGCAGGAGAAAUGUUUGUGGACUCAGGAGGAUCGAAUCAACGGUGCAAAGAAAUCCUGUAAAACAACGACUCAAAAACUGGAAAUUUAAAGACCUAAACAUCUGCACGAACAAUGGAUGAUUGGAAAAGUCAAAGAAAUGUGUUUCUUCAUGUUUUUAUAAUUUGAUGGAAACAAGCUGCAGAGGAGACCUCUGUUUCAGAUCCAGACAGCAUCCCUGACGUGUGAAUUUAAACCUUUUUAGCGUUUCUGAUGUUCAGCCUGUUUUCCAGGGUUUAGCACUUUUCUAUGUUUGAAGGAGUUUGGUCCAGAGAUGGCUGCGUGCGUCUUCAGUUAUUCUCCAGUGACUCUGGAUUUGACAGAGAAAUGAUCUAAAGAUGCAGGAGAGCGCACACGUGAGGGCUGUAGCAGCUAUUUUACAAGAACAGUGACGUUUUGACUCGAUUCUUAAACAUUUUGGGCCAAAUUAAUGUUUAUUUUCCUCUCAAUCUGGCUGUUUCUUUACACAGUUUGCUCCAGGUGUGUGUGUUUAAAAGAGAUGUAGCUUUUUAACAAGAGUCAAUAUUUGUCUUUAAACUAUUUCCCCUUUCCCUCCUCGUGGUUAAAACACGCACAGAAGCUUGUUGUGUUUGUUGACUGAAGAUGUUUGUGAGCUUGGAUCCGAUCAGGUCUGUUUGACACAAAAAUGAAGAAGGUGUCUCUGAUGUAAAAGACUCUUGUUGUCACGGUGCCAGGACUCUGAACAUCAGUGUGAUCCCGAUAAUUGUCCCAGAGAUCGUAUAAAAGUGUAUUUCUGAAAUUGUCGAACUAUUCCUUUAAGCAAACCUCACUGAUUUCUUAGUCUGAAACUAAACCACGCGUGAACGUGUUCAUGAUGUGAGGUUUGGCUGCAGAACAGUCAAACCCUGAAGUCGUGUUUGUGCAAAUGUGACCAUUAAGCGCACCCCCAGUGUUUGACCCGCGGUCUCGGAGUGCGCUGUGAGAAACUGGAGAGGGAGUUUUCCUGCAGGGAUGAAAAGAGGAUCGCUCACUCACAACAGAGAGAUUCAGGUCCCUGACUCGGAGUGUGUAGGCGAGGAUUUCUGCAGCAGGACUGAUGAUGAAGAUGCUGCUGAUGAUGAUGAUGAUGAUGGUUUUGGAGAGCAGCCUGCUGGACCUGCAUGACAUCAGUGUUUCUUUUUCUCUCUGCAGCUUCCUUACCUUCAAAUAUUUAGUUUCCAAAUCCCCCGAUGAUCAAAUAAACGGACAUUACAGAUGUGAGUGGAGGAGCUGUUGAUCUGGAUCGGCUCCUGUUGGCCCGUAGAAACAGAAGCUCUGUUGUGUCUUUAACAAGCGCGGCCUCGGAUGACAGACUGUGUUUCAGGUUUGGAUCUCAGACUGGAACCAUUUAGGAAGUCCAGACUCCUUCAGUCACAGGACAGAGGGGACUUUGAUCCUUUUUGGACCUUUUUUUUCUUCCUGUCAGUAUUGAUUAGAAGUGAGUGUCGGAAUAAUUUUACAUAAUUUCCUACAAAGUUAGUUUGAUAGAAGCUUUUCGUCAUUACCUUCACAUACGGCCUGUAAUUCAUAACUAUAUUCUGGUGAGCUACCUCCACAGUUAGAGUUUGGAGAACUCUACUCUCUAAAAUUAACUCAUUUAGGGUUUAGUGAAGAUUAAAAGAAUGUAGAUUUUUAUACACAACUCACCUUUUGUAUUGAGACUUAACAUUUUGCAUAAUUAGGGGUGUGACUCCCACAAAAUAUAUGAAGAAUCAAAGUGUUCAGACGUAAACAGAUUUUUAUACCAGGCGGUAAACAGGUUUAGUUUUGCUGGACAUGGACAUUAAUGGCGAUUCUUUGGAGGCAGCCUGUAGUGGAAACUAGGGUCCGACUGAGGGCCCGAUUAAAUUGGACAAUUUUAGCCCGUUUGAGACCAAUCGGUAAUCGGUGAAAACUAAUCGGUAAUCAGAUUUUUUUCCCCCCUAAUAAUCCACAUCGGUCAGGCCCGAGUGGAAACUGCAGUUUUUAGACUUUUGCUUCGUAUUUUAACACAAGAGGAUCCUGCUGACUGUCGAAGAAGUCUGGAGUUUGUUUUUCUCACUAUAACUUGAUAUUAUAACGUCUCUGUCAGUUUGAUGACCGCUCUGAUAAUUAUUCGACCUCUUCUCCUUACUCCCACAGCGUGUGACUCGGCAUAAUCCAGAUUCUCCUUCAGCGUUCGUCAUUGAAUAAUUUGAAUUUCACAGUAAAUCCUCUUCCUCCUCUCAGCUGUUACAAAGGCUCAUUUUAGCUUCUUGGCACGGGGAGGAAAGUCUGAGCUGCUUUGUCAGUUGGAAAACUUCAGAGCAAUAAUACACACACAAAACUGCCAUUUAUGUCAUUUUAGAAGAACUGUAACACAUUUAAAGUAGAAAUCUGAAUCAUGCAAAAACAAAAGCUCUUUUUUUGUUUGUGAUAAAAGCUUCACUGUUCACCGAAAUCUCUGAGAUUUUUAUUUCAAGUUUGAUCAGAUCGGACAGAUACAGCAGUCAUCUUCUUGGCUGCUGUGUUUCUGCAAACGAUCAAAAAUGCUGAAAAUGACGUCGGGGUGGAAACAUCUUAACACCAACAACAAUUUGUGUUUCGGUGACAUAUGAGUAACUUCCCAGGAAUUCCCUUUUCAGCCCACAGGACGUGUUUUCCCACAGCCACACUCGGCCAAAACAAAGGCAGCCCCCCCACCCACCCCCCACUUCAGUGAGAAACACUUAACCUUUGACGGAGCGAGUGAAAGAUUUCCAUGACAGACAGAUAGACGGGGAAAUCUCUGAUAGUUAAAGGGCUGACAUGUUCAGGAACAACAACUAGGAAACACGACAAAACAACGUUUUAUAAACGACCUUUAACCUCAGACCAAACAAACAAACUUAAAGUUACAGUAAAGAUAACUGUCUGCAGAGUUGGUUAGUUUUUGUAUAUUUCACAAUAAUAUCGUUUCCAUAAUGUUCGGUUCAUAAAUGUGUAUUUUAGCUCUUCCUAUUAUGGUGUUUGAAACCUGCUCCGUGUUGAGUUUUAGACACUUUUCCUCAUGAAACAUAUAUUUAUGUUUUUUUUUAUUUUGUCUUUUAACAGCCUCAUUUUUCAGAGACAGAUGAACAGAAGUCAAAAGCAGAUAGCGCCCUCUAUAGUCUCACGUAUUUGUACCAUCUGUGAAGAGAGGUACUGAUCCACCUCUCAUGGUAUCUUAAAACUGUUAAAUCACUUUACGAUAUCUUCUUAUCCCCAAAACUUCAUCUCAGAACUUCUUUUGCCAACAGUUUUACACACUGAUGAUCAUUUAGUUUAAAAAUGUUUAUUUUGACUGAAAUCACCGUGUUGAAACAUUAAUGUCCAGAUUCAGAACUGAGACCCUCUGAGUUGCUGUUCAGCUAAUGAAAAAUCAGUAAGACCAGAGUCUUUAAAGCCAAAAAAGUUUUUGUUUUAGUCGAUAAAUCAAUUCUGCAGAUCCCCAAACUUCAGCUCUUCAUGUUUAUAAGUCCAACAGCAGACAGGGAGGAUCAUAAAAGUCUGGGAUUUCCACCCCGAAGUUUGGCCGGAGGCUGAAGUUCUGCCCCAAACUCUGGCGUUACAUCUUCACCAGACCUGACUUAUCUGAGAUUUGAGCUCUCUGACUCUCAUGAAGCUCUGAGACUCAAAACUCUGAAAACUCUCCACAUGUGAACAAAUGUCUAACCUGAAUGAAUAAAACUCUUCUCUCUCUCACGAUGUUUUCAUUCCCGCUCUCACUCUCUGUUCUUUUUUCUUCCAGGGGUCACGUCUUCCGCCUCUGGCUGCUCCAGGUUUCUAUCCUUCAGCCUUUUACGAGAUCCGAG